rnacentral:rRNA from 1 species
GUGGGGAAUAUUGGACAAUGGGCGAAAGCCUGAUCCAGCCAUGCCGCGUGUGUGAAGAAGGUCUUCGGAUUGUAAAGCACUUUAAGUUGGGAGGAAGGGUAGUAACCUAAUACGUUGCUACUUUGACGUUACCGACAGAAUAAGCACCGGCUAACUUCGUGCCAGCAGCCGCGGUAAUACGAAGGGUGCAAGCGUUAAUCGGAAUUACUGGGCGUAAAGCGCGCGUAGGUGGUUCAGUAAGUUGGAAGUGAAAUCCCCGGGCUCAACCUGGGAACUGCUGUCAAAACUGCUGAGCUAGAGUACGGUAGAGGGUGGUGGAAUUUCCUGUGUAGCGGUGAAAUGCGUAGAUAUAGGAAGGAACACCAGUGGCGAAGGCGACCACCUGGACUGAUACUGACACUGAGGUGCGAAAGCGUGGGGAGCAAACAGGAUUAGAAACCCCAGUAGUCC